GAGAAUCUCUCAUCUCCAGUCAAAAGGGAAGGCUGUCAAUGGGACCAUCUCGAGAAUUUGUAAUGUAUCCACUACAUUUGGAAAACAGAGUGGACUGGUGAAUGAUUCGUGGAAAAUCCAAAGGCCAAAGGGUGGUCACUUUGAUAGUAGGUUAGGGGAUAGUUGGCUAUGCUGGAUGACCUGUGUUACCCAAAUUUUUCGGAAUGAGAGAUACGUGGUUACCUGUUGUGGACCAGGCAGAGGACACAGGAGGGAGAAAGCCAAUGGGAUUGUAUUGGAUUCUGGUCGGAAGGACCAUCUGGAGGAGGAAGAGACCUCAGCAGACAAAAACCAAAGUUCUGGAGAUUGGAAGUCUGAGACCAGGAUGCCAGCAUGGUGGAGUGAGGGCUGGCUUCCAGACACAAUGGCUGGAGAUGGAGCAGUCAUCUUGUGGCAUGAAGGACAAACCAAAGAAGUCACAGAAGAAUAAACCCCCAAAUCUUUAAAACUCUGACCUACCUCA